UACGGAGGGUGCAAGCGUUGUCCGGAUUUAUUGGGUUUAAAGGGUGCGUAGGCGGCCUUUUAAGUCAGUGGUGAAAGCCCAUAGCUCAACUAUGGAACUGCCAUUGAUACUGAAAGGCUUGAGUACAGACGAGGUUGGCGGAAUGGAUGGUGUAGCGGUGAAAUGCAUAGAUACCAUCCAGAACUCCGAUUGCGUAGGCAGCUAACUAGGCUGUAACUGACGCUGAGGCACGAAGGCCAGGGGAGCAAACGGG
rnacentral:rRNA from 1 species